UACGGGGGGGGCAAGCGUUGUUCGGAAUUACUGGGCGUAAAGGGCUCGUAGGCGGCCAACUAAGUCAGACGUGAAAUCCCCAGGCUUAACCUGGGAACUGCGUCUGAUACUGGAUGGCUUGAAUCCGGGAGAGGGAUGCAGAAUUCCAGGUGUAGCGGUGAAAUGCGUAGAUAUCUGGAGGAACACCGGUGGCGAAGGCGGCAUCCUGGACCAAUAUUGACGCUGAGGAGCGAAAGCCAGGGGAGCAAACGGG
rnacentral:rRNA from 1 species